UACGUAGGGUGCAAGCGUUGUCCGGAAUUAUUGGGCGUAAAGAGCUCGUAGGCGGUCUGUCGCGUCUGCUGUGAAAAACUCGGGGCUUAACCCCCGGGCCUGCAGUGGGUACGGGCAGACUAGAGUGCGGUAGGGGAGACUGGAAUUCCUGGUGUAGCGGUGAAAUGCGCAGAUAUCAGGAGGAACACCGGUGGCGAAGGCGGGUCUCUGGGCCGUAACUGACGCUGAGGAGCGAAAGCGUGGGGAGCGAACAGG
rnacentral:rRNA from 1 species